rnacentral:rRNA from 1 species
GUAGGGAAUAUUGGGCAAUGGAUGCAAGUCUGACCCAGCCAUCCCGCGUGCCGGAAGAAGGCCCUCAGGGUUGUAAACGGCUUUUGACGGUGAAGAAUCGACAGGAUGCGUCCUGUUUUGACGGUAGCCGUUGAAUAAGCACCGGCUAACUCCGUGCCAGCAGCCGCGGUAAUACGGAGGGUGCGAGCGUUGUCCGGAUUUAUUGGGUUUAAAGGGUGCGUGGGCUGGAAGGUCAGUCAGCGGUGAAAAGCUGUCGCUUAACGAUAGUCUUGCCGGAGAUACUUCCUUUCUUGGAUGAGGAGGAGGCCAUUGGAACGGAUGGUGUAGCGGUGAAAUGCAUAGAUAUCAUCCAGAACACCGAUUGCGAAGGCAGGUGGCUGUACCUUAAUCGACGCUGAUGCACGAAAGCAUGGGGAGCAAACAGGAUUAGAAACCCCUGUAGUCC